GGAGACGAUGUCGGCUAGGUUCAAGGUUCAACCUUGCUGACCACGAGGAAGGCGUAGACCAGCUGCAAGCCUGCUGCUGGCCGGGAUGUGCAGCAGGCAUCGGGAAGGCGUCGCAUCUUCGACAAAACACAACGAGGCCACUGUUUCCCUGCACAGUGGAUGAAUUGCGGCACGAAGGCCGGUCUCAGCAAGGUGAACGCAAGAAGGGGAAAUCUUCGGUCUUGGCGAGGCUCACCGGUGCUGACGGCGCCACGGGCUCGGCGAGGGCGCGGUGGUCGAUGGGGAGCUCCGGGCGGCGUCGCGAGCUCUGGGGGCGGAGCGGUCGGCGUGGCCGAGGACGAGGCGCGGCUGCGACGGGCUCGCCACGAGCUUGGUCCGUGGCGUCGCGGUUGCAGGCGAUGUCGACGUCGCGAGCGCAGAGCGAACCGGUGGCGGAGACGGUGCCACGGCAGCACAGCUUCGGGACGAGGCCAUGGCGCGGUCGUGGGUGGCUUCGGUGUGGUCGUGCUCUGUGACGUCCGCGGCGAGCUCGUCGGCGAGGUGACGCAGUGGCGCUGGGCGGAGGGAGAAGGAGCAGA
rnacentral:lncRNA from 1 species